rfam:Daphnia pulex DAPPTscaffold_38_Cont2195, whole genome shotgun sequence.
AAAAGGUACGGCGACAUGGUUCCCAAAACGAUAGCCGGCAAAGUGGUGGGCGGCGUCUGCUCACUGAGCGGAGUGCUCGUCAUUGCCCUGCCCGUUCCCGUCAUCGUCUCCAAC